rnacentral:rRNA from 1 species
AUGCUAGGACAACCUGUUAAUUUUAUUUGCUGGAAUGUAAGGGGCCUUAACUGCCCGGAUCGUCGUGCUACCGUUCAUGAAACUAUUGCUGCCACUUCGUGUCAUUUGGCUUGUCUCCAGGAGACCAAACUUGCUGCCAUGGAGCAGUUUACCGCUGCCUUUCUUGGGGGAGCUAGGCUCAAGAGUUUUGCCCAGCGGCCGGCUGUGGGAACUAGAGGAGGCAUUUUGCUUCUUUGGGAUGACGAGGCUGUGCAGGUCUCAGAUGUUGUUGCUGCUACCUUCUGCCUUUCCGCUACUGUCUUAGUCCGUGCCACCAACAUUUCCUUCAAGCUCACG